AUCACAAAGGCCCUUCUGACCACUUGGCCAGCUCUGAUGUCCUAGCAGAGUCCAAAUGAGUUCAUGCUUCUGUUGAUUUUGAGCAAGCUCAACUGUUACAACUGGGAUGAAGAAGAUGACUUCUGAAGUGAAUGCAUUGCAGACCUCAGCUCAGUAACUCCACGGCUUACUUCCAUUACAACGAGGCUGUCUAAAGAUCCAAAGGGUGGCACACCA